UACGUAGGGUGCAAGCGUUAAUCGGAAUUACUGGGCGUAAAGCGUGCGCAGGCGGUUUUGUAAGUCUGUCGUGAAAUCUCCGGGCUCAACCUGGGAAUUGCGAUGGAGACUGCAAGGCUAGAAUCUGGCAGAGGGGGGUAGAAUUCCACGUGUAGCAGUGAAAUGCGUAGAGAUGUGGAGGAACACCGAUGGCGAAGGCAGCCCCCUGGGUCAAGAUUGACGCUCAUGCACGAAAGCGUGGGGAGCAAACAGG
rnacentral:rRNA from 1 species